AUCGCUUCUCCGCCUUUUGGCUCAGAUCAAGUGUAGUAUCUGUUCUUAUCAGUUUAAUAUCUGAUACGUCCCCCAUCGGGGGACUACAUAUUAAAUGGAUUUUUCGAACAGGGAGUCGGAAAUGGGGCUUGCUCCGUCCGCUCCACGCAUCGACCCGGUAUUGCAGUACCUCCGGGAACGGUGCAACACUU
rnacentral:snRNA from 8 species